CAGGAUUCCCAACGUGAUUUAAACAGAAGUGGGAAGCAAGAAUCUGAUUGGGUCAAGAAAGAGCCUAGCCUUUUCCUAAGAAUUCACAGUUCGUUCUUCCUCCUCAGAUCUGCAACUUCACCUAUUCUUUUCCAUUAUUGGUUAUUACAAGAUAUUGAAUGCAGCAUUGUUAACAAAAAGAAAAAAGUGGAGCCAACCUAAAUAAACAUCCAACGAUAUGGAGCUGGUUAAGUUGUGGAAUAACAAGAAGUGAAAUAUGCGGUGAACAAAAGCCAAACAGCCUAAAGUAUUAAGGCGUUGCAAAACACUUACGAUAUGUUCAAACGCAGAUUACAAAACCCCCUGUAUAGGAAGAUUUUAUUUAAAAAUUAUAUUGCAUAUACAUUAAAAAGACAGGACAGCAGCAUUCUAAACUGUUGAUGGUGGUUGUUUCUCGGUAGUGGG